rnacentral:lncRNA from 1 species
CAGAGCAGCACUCUUUAUCAGUGCCACUUACCUGUUCCUGCCUACCUUGUGUUCUAGGACUUUUAUUGGAAAAGCCACAUAGAGGUCAAACUCUGUCUAGCUAUCCGUCUAUAAAGAAAUCCAGACAGCGUAAUGCAGCAUUUUAUGAACAACAAGUGGAUCUUCUGGGAAUGACAGAAUCCUCCCUACGAAUUAGAAGCAUGGAAGGAUUCGUUACACUUUAACAUGUUUCUUCAGUGACAUGUGCGACCUUGACUUUUAAUUAUUCAAGAGUGGCAAGUAUGGAACCUAAAGUGGAUUGUUGACACAAGAUGCCUGGAAAUAAGGAGAAUUAUGAAAGACAUACUGUUGUUUUAAAUUUCAAACCACAGUUACCUGUGUAACUAAAGAACCUGUAAGUCCCUCAAUAGGAAAAAGUGGAAACUGACCCAGAGGAUGCCAGACAGAAGGAUAUAUCCAAUUGCAGUUCUUACCAGCAUACAGCCCAGAAUCAUUUUUCUAAUUAUUGACUGUGUGUGAAGUUUUCCCCCUUGCGUAACAGCCUGCUGGCCUUGGAACCCAGCCACUCUGUCUCCUGAUGUACUGGCGCUUCCUUUGUCUUAACUUGGAAAGAUCCCACCCAGGGAGGAGGUUCCAUAUGAAUAUAACUUCUUGCCUAAGUUGGUUUAGGUAAGAAGACUCUUCAUGUGCCUGUUUCCUUCAAAUUUUAAGGAGAGCUCUUGCAUGGUGGUAGAACCGAGGACAGCCUAGACCUUCUGAUUGUCAACUCCUUGUUCCAUUGUGUCCAAACCUACAUGUCUGAACUCCUCUCAUCAAAGACUUCUCAAAGUUAUUAAUAACUGGGGAUCACGUAUUCAGUAAUUACACACAUCAGGCUCCAUGCUUUCUGUGCAGUAUGUAAAUUGAUUCAUUGUCAUACUAAUUAUAAAUGGCUAGUAUUAUUGCUGCUUUACAAAUGAGGCAUAUGACACACAGGGAGCUAAAUAAUUUGCCUAAGGUCACCCCACUUGUAAAUGAUGAAGCCAGGACUCAAGGCCAGGUCUGGCCACCCCUGAAUUUAAUAGCUUUAUCCUCUAUAUCUCUGUUUUCUCCCAGACCAAGGUGUCUGUACCUCUCUGCCAACAGAGAAAAGGGUUCAUUCAUUCAUCAAAUGUUUGUUGAGCAUCUAUUGUGACUCAGGCAAUAUCCUAGAUCAAGGAUUGUCAAACUUUUUCUAUAAAGGACAAGAGAGCAAACAUUUUAGGUCUCCUGGGUCAUACGGUCAGUCACUGUGAUUCAACUCUGCUGUUGUAGUACAAGAUUGUGAAAGCAGCCAUAGAUGAUAUGUCAAUGAAUGAGCAUGGUUGUGUUCCAAUAAAAUGUCACUUGCGAAAGCAGGCUGUGGGCUGGGUUUGGGCCAAGAGUUCUAUCCCUGCUCUAGGCACUGGAGUUACAAUAGCAAAAAAUUAAAAUAAAGUAAAAUAAAAACACAAAAAUGCCUGCCUUUGUGGUGCUUCCAUUCCAGAAUGGGGAAGUAAUUGUAUUUCUGUCCCGUUUAUCAUGUAAAAAUUGUCAUAGGAUCUUGGAGUUGCUGAGCACCUAGAGGUGAUCUGUUCAGCAUUUUCCUCCCAGGGCAGCUCUCCACUCAGAACUCUCUUGGCUGGUGAGGGUUCAUUCUGUGUGCCCGGAUCUAGUGUCACCUCACCUUCCAGGGGACCCAUCCUUGUCACAUAGUCCUUGCUUAUCUGUCUUCCUGACAAUUUAACUCACAUCCUACCCUGUUUGGGCAGAGGGCCCCACAUUUUAGCAUAUCAUAAUCACUUUUGGGGCUUGAAACACUUUGAUGGGCUCCACUCUCGAGAUUCUGAUUCAAUAGGUCUGGAGUGAGGCCCAAGAUUUUCCCUUUCUGACAAAUUCCCAGGUAAUUCC